rnacentral:rRNA from 1 species
UACAGAGGGUGCAAGCGUUGUUCGGAAUUACUGGGCGUAAAGCGUGCGUAGGUGGUUCGUUAAGUCUGUUGUGAAAGCCCUGGGCUCAACCUGGGAAUGGCGAUGGAUACUGGCGAGCUAGAGUACGGUAGAGGAUGGUGGAAUUCCCGGUGUAGCGGUGAAAUGCGUAGAGAUCGGGAGGAACAUCAGUGGCGAAGGCGGCCAUCUGGACCAGUACUGACGCUGAGGCACGAAAGCGUGGGGAGCAAACAGG